rnacentral:rRNA from 1 species
GAUGAACGCUGGCGGUAUGCUUAACACAUGCAAGUCGAACGGACUCUUCGGAGUUAGUGGCGGACGGGCGAGGAACGCGUGAGAAUCUGGCUUUGGGUUCGGGACAACCACUGGAAACGGUGGCUAAUACCGGAUGUGCCGAGAGGUAAAAGAGAAAUUGCCUGAAGAUGAGCUCGCGUCUGAUUAGCUAGUUGGUGAGGUAAAGGCUCACCAAGGCAGCGGUCAGUAGCUGGUCUGAGAGGAAGACCAGCCACACUGGGACUGAGACACGGCCCAGACUCCUACGGGAGGCAGCAGUGGGGAAUUGUCCGCAAUGGGCGAGAGCCUGACGGAGCAAUACCGCGUGAGGGAAGAAGGCUCUUGGGUUGAAAACCUCUUUUCUUAGGGAAGAACAAAAUGACGGUACCUAAGGAAUCAGCAUCGGCUAACUCCGUG